rnacentral:lncRNA from 1 species
UCAGCAAUGGGGAUUGUUCUGCCACAUCGUGCUGCUUAAGUCUGGGAGCCAGGGUGGGAGGUACUGGGUUACAAGAAGGGAACAGGUGUGAGGGGUGACAACAUACUCAUUCAGCUUUGGACUCGUGCCUGUGGGGGUCCUGUAGGAGAUCUUGCGGACCUGUGCAGUGGGCCGUCGGAAAGGCAAGCCUGACCCUUUCAAGAGAGGUCAGGCCUGGAGACCAAGGGUGAGGCCCCUCCAUAAAGAGAAGGUGGUUGAAGCCCAUGGAUUAGAUGCUUGUGAAGAGCACAGAGUGGGAAGAGAAAGGAGCAGUGACAGAACCAUGAGAAGCACAAUAGAGGGCGGGGAGAGGCAGACCUGACAUGGGGCAGACUCAAAUCCCGCCCUCAUGGACCUUACAGAGCUGCCACAAGCAUUCGUAAUUCUUAUCUAAGCAGACAGGGUCAAGUGACUAAGAGAGGACCAAGGACCUCAUUUCCAGGAGUGAGGCCAGGAAGACUCCAUGAAGGAGGGUGUUUUAACCAGGCUUUGGACCAAGCGCGGGAUGAGGACUGGCAAGAGAUGGUUAGACACACAAAGGCAAGGAGGCUUCAGGAUGUCUGGGAAACUGUGAGAAGUUGGUUAAUAUCUGGUCAGAGGUACUCACAGAAUAAUGCAGAAUUGGAUUAGAAUUCAAAAGCAUUUAAAAAAAUGUGUGAGCCACAGAAUGAAGUUUAGGGAGACUCAAAACUGUGUACUAUUGCUGCAGACACUGAGGCAGAUUAGUGUGCAGGACGACUGUUUCGGAGAGGUGCUGAAGGAAACGCCUGGAGAAGGGGAGAGAAGGAAGCAGGAUUAGGCGUAGGAGAGGUUGGGAGGUGCUGAGGUCUCACUAGUGGCCUCAGGUGACCUCAUGGGGAGCUCGGGAGCUUGGUCAGCCCUGCAGAGCAGUUCCGCACUGGGAAGUCUAGUGGGUUGAAUAGUGGCCCCCAAAAUAUAUGUCCAAGUCCUAACCCUCGGUACCUGUGACUGUGACUUUAUUUGCAUGUAAUUAAGUUAAGCAUCCUGGGGUGUGAUCAGCCUGUGUUUAGGGUGAGCCAAAUCUAAUGACCAGCAUCUUCAUGGGAGAAAGGAGAGGGAGAUUCCACACUCAGACACACAUGGGAGUGGGCCGUGUGAAGACAGGAGCAGAGACUGGGGUGACGCCUCUACAAGCAGAGGCAGCCAAGGAUUGCCUCAGCCACCAGAAACCAGGAGAGAGGCACGGAACAGGCUCUUCCCCAGAGGCUCCAGAAGGAACCAGCCUGCUGAUUUCAGGCUUCCACCUCCAGAAUGGCGAAAGAAUACAUUCUAUUGUUUUCAGCUGCCCAGUUUGUGGUAAUCUGUUUUGGCAGCCUUAGGAAAUGAAUACAGGAGGCCAGGCCUUUUUACCCAGUACGAUCUGUCGUUGGAUGUGGGCUGCCCCGGAAGGAAGCACGAUCCUGGGCGAGCCAGUUUUCUUCAGCAGAGGUGAUCCCCAAAGAGAGCUGACAGCUGAGCACCCUUGUCUGGCAGCACUCCCAGCAGCCUGGGGAAUAAGUUCUCCCUUCCUGAAGGGGGUCUGGAUGACGCAUGACAGCAGCUACUUCUCUGUCCUUCAGUUUCCCCAUCUGCAUAAUGGGAAUAACAAUAAGACCUAUCUUGUAUGGUUGCUAGGAGACAAAAUUAGGUGGGAAUACCCAUGGCUAACAUUUAUUGAGCGCUUACUUUAUAUCUGUCAGGCACACCUGUCCAGAAGUUCAUACUUGUAUGUUGCCCUGCAUAUGGCACUGAAAGAGAACACAGGGCUGAUUCCUUGACCUUUUGCAGUUCAUAGUCUAGUGAGGAAUACGAAUAAUUACAAAGGAAAGACUCUUUUACAGCCCUCAGCACUGUUAUUGCGUGAACUGGCUCAGCAUGGCCGGCCCAGUGAAGGACGCCAGUGGUAGUAACCGGGGAAGAGGGAUCCCCUGGCUCUUCUUACCAAACUUCUUCGAUCGUUUGGAGUGGUUUGGCCAUCAGUUAGUCAGGAAGAGGCCAGAAGGACACGUGCUGAUAAUGCUUCAAGAAAGUUAAACUUUAGGAAAAACUCGACCGAAGUAAAAAUAGCUAUGUAGUCAGUGACCAAAGCUACUUGGAUGGUCCUGUUGAUUGCUCUUGUGCAUUUUAUCACACGAAUACAGGCUUUCCCCUAAAAGUUGAAAAUAAAGAAGGGAAAUGUGA